AAAGCAAAAAGAGCGUCGGGUGCAGGCAAUCCGGUCAAAGUCCGGAGCGGUCGCGCCACUGUAGACGGGCUCAAGCCCGUGAGCCAGAAAACUCACCCGGCGUAGUGGUCUCUG
rnacentral:ncRNA from 1 species